CCUACGGGUGGCAGCAGUGGGGAAUAUUGGGCAAUGGGCGCAAGCCUGACCCAGCAACGCCGCGUGAAGGAAGAAGGCUUUCGGGUUGUAAACUUCUUUUCUGAGGGACGAAGAAAGUGACGGUACCUCAGGAAUAAGCCACGGCUAACUAUGUGCCAGCAGCCGCGGUAAUACGUAGGUGGCAAGCGUUAUCCGGAUGUAUGGGGUGUAAAGGGGGUGUAGGGGGGAAAGCAAGUCAGGUGUGAAAACUCAGGGCUCACCACUGAGCCUGGAUUUGAAACUGUUUUUCUUGAGUGCUGGAGGGGCAAUCGGAAUUCCGUGUGUAGCGGUGAAAUGCGUAGAUAUACGGAGGAACACCAGUGGCGAAGGCGGAUUGCUGGACAGUAACUGACGCUGAGGCGCGAAAGCGUGGGGAGCAAACAGGAUUAGAUACCCCAGUAGUC
rnacentral:rRNA from 1 species